rnacentral:lncRNA from 1 species
GGGUGGACAAAUGAAACUGUAUACUGAACUAAAAAUUAGUUUGUUUAAAUUGAACUAAACUAUAAAAUAGUUUAGAGAAACUGAAUUGAACUGUUUUUUAUUUUAUCAAACUGAAUUGAAUUGUAUUAUACUAAAUUGUACUAAACUACAAUAUAAACUGAACUGAACUACUGAACUGAACUAUGCUAAAUUGUACUAAACUAUAAUAUAAACUGAGCUAAACUAUACUAACUGAAUUGUAAACUGCACUAAUUUUAUAAACUGAUUUUUUAUAUUUUCACUUAAACUUAAGAUUUCCACUCAUGAAU